GCCUGUUGCACAAAAGUAGAAUUAAGACAUCCGGGAUAAAUGACUCAGCUGAGCUCAAUGAAGCCAAAACAUGUGCGUCCAGGCUUAAUUGGUUGCACAAAGACCAAGCCAGGAUGAGCAGACACGGAUUCAUUAAGCCAGGUGAAACCAAUCCUGGAUAGGUGCGCGCUCACGGCUCACUCAAAUAGACCCCGCCACAGAUCACAGAUUAACUGAUUUACCAUGGCAACUAGAGCCGCGUACUUUUCCCCGUCGGAAGCACAAAUCCUCAUGGAGGCAUACGAGGAGGUAAAAGAUAUAAUUAAGAAGAAAGGCAACACCGCCACAGUGAUAAAGCAAAGAGAAAAAGCGUGGCAAAGUAUUGCAGACCGCCUGAAUGCAUUAAACAUGAACGGGCCAAAACGGACAUGGCAGCAGGUCAAAAUCAAAUACAAGAACAUUCUGCAGAAUGCAGUGAAAAAGAAUACCCACAGACAAGGCACGGGUGGUGGGUCACCAAAGGCUGACCUUACCCCAGCAGAGGACAUGGCCUUGGAGCUAAAUAAAGGCAGGCCCGUCUUAGAGGGGAUCCCUGGGGGGAAAGAGACGAGCAUAGGUUCCUCCCAAGAUGCCACCCGCUUC